rnacentral:rRNA from 1 species
UACGUAGGGGGCAAGCGUUGUCCGGAUUUAUUGGGCGUAAAGAGCGUGUAGGCGGCCAGAUAGGUCCGUUGUGAAAACUCGGGGCUCAACCUCGAGACGCCGAUGGAAACCAUCUGGCUAGAGUCCGGAAGAGGAGAGUGGAAUUCCCGGUGUAGCGGUGAAAUGCGCAGAUAUCGGGAAGAACACCAGUGGCGAAGGCGGCUCUCUGGGACGGUACUGACGCUGAGACGCGAAAGCGUGGGGAGCAAACAGG